rnacentral:lncRNA from 1 species
GGGAAGGAGCCUUUUUUUGCUUAAGUAUUUACUGUUUUCCGUUUGUAUUUCCAACAGCUAAAAGACACUUUUUGCCUUAUUUUAAUUUACAGAAAGUCCUAGGAAACUGAGCACCAAGACAUUUUUAUCAGCAGAGAAAGAAUUUAGUUCAUCUCCAAAGAAAUCACAGUUGGACUUUGGAAAUAAAGGAGGGAAAACUGCAGAUGUGGUUGAUCCAAAAGACGCAAGUUCCAAGCUGACCUCCACUCAUCAUAAUUUGUUCAUAUUUGGCUCAUCCGCUCAAACAGAAGUACCCAGAAAAUCAAGCUCUAAAAUGGUGGCUGAAAAAGAAUGCUCUACUCCUUCAAAAAAAGGGAGCAGUUUCCAGAAUAAAGUUUCCGCUCUUGUCAAUGAGAACGUGCCUUCACCUAUUAAUCGAAUCCUACAUAGGAAUACUAGUUUAGACUCUGCUGUAGCCUCAGGAAAUAUGAAAUUAGCCAAAAACAAGGAUGCUACCCCUAGAACAUGGUCAAGUUCAAAAGGAUCCAAAAUUGACGAUGUUAAAGUUAAGGCAGAAAAACACUACCACAUCAAACAGUAAGUUGUGCAUCUGUCUUUUUUCUUACUGUGGUUUUCGUAAUUUUUUCUCAAUCUGAAAGGUCAAAAAUGAUUUUCAUAUAUUU